GAUUCCAUAGUGUAGCGGUUAGCACGUGUGCUUUACAUGCAGAAGGUCCUGGGUUCAUGCCCCAGUGGAGCCA
rnacentral:tRNA from 1 species